CUUUUCUGCUCUAAUAAAUUCAUGGCAGGUGGAUUCAAACACGCGAGCUCCAGCUUCCCUGAGCCACUGGCACAGAGGAAGAGGAUUGAGGCCUUGGAUAACCUCCCCAGGAAGCCAAACUUGAGACACAGUGCGUGGUGUGCAGUUUGUUUAGAGCCAGUGGAGCCAUCCCACCUCCCUUUCUGCAUCUUCCACUUCGUGUAUGGACUUCCUUUAAUUGGCCAGGCUCUGUUGCUGUUCCAGAAGUGGUUUGAUUUAGCAAGAGAAAUCUUUGCACUGGAAAAAAUUGACCUGGAACAUGUUUGAUAUUUGUGCACGGUGACGUCAAGGUGAGGAAAAUGGGCAUGACCCUGAAGAGCGGAUAAAUAUUUUAUAAAUUGUGUGUUCAUGUCUGUGCACACAUCAGAGACUGUGCUUGCGAUCAGGAAGUGGCUGCACAGAAGGCAGAGAAGAACAAUCCUUUGUAGAGAGUGAUACACACAUUCCAGUCACUGUCUCAAAAGGUGCAUCCAAGUCUACAAAGGUCCACAUGUCUAGGGGUACUGUCAGUGCAAAUGGAACGUGUGCUUCCUGCAGGUGUUUUGGAGAGGGAAAAUGCCCCUGGUGUGCACCAGGUGCCAUUGUGUGAUCACAGAACACAUCAAGCUGGAAGGGACCGGAAAGAAUCAUCCAAUCAAACUCCCAAGUAAUGAAACAUUGAGCUGGGGCAUGGAAGACCUACAGCCUCCUCAUUUACAGUUUAUUCUGUAUCUGUCCCAUCAUGGUUUUACAGCCAUUUCUUGUGGAAGACCAGCUCCUUUAGAGACCUCCUCUUGUGCAGAAUUUUCAGUCUCCACACAAUGUUUCUGUUUGGUGUCUGGCUGUUUCCAGUUCCAUCUGAAGAGGAGCAGAAGGACAAUUGAUGUGCCAUUUUGAGGGUCAGAAAUAGGACAAUGGUAUCCACCCCAGGAAUUUGAAGUGCACAUAAUGAUCCUGCUCCUGACACAGAUCUUUUGCCACAGGAAGCCUGUGAGGAAGCUGAGAAGUGCUUCUUGGAUUAUCAGUCCUUUCCAGAAGCUACACUCUUCUCCUUGGAAAUGUUAUCAUGGGUGGUCUUGAUGGAAAAGCACUGCAGACUCUAAUGGUGAAUGUUAAAGUGGCUUCAUAAAUCUGUGCACAAACUGAAGUGGCAGGAGCUGCAUCCAGCCUCUCCAGUUUACCUGGCCAUGCUGUUGCAGUUUAUUUAGGUCUGGACAAGCUGACUGUUGUUCCUGCUUGCACAGUCCAGCUACAUUUCCAUUCUGGUCAGGUCAGUGUCCAUCAUUUCCAGGCAGAGAUCUUCAGCACUCCCCUCCACUUCAGUCUCCAGACUUGCCUGCAGAGACUCAGUUGCAUGCUGAUGGUUGCUUUCACAAAAUGGGAACAGGACACCACAUCAUCUCCAGGCAGCAGAGAGGGGCUCUCUGGCAGCUGAUGGAGGCUGGAGCAAAGAGCUGGGGAGAGAGCCCAGGAAACACUGGAGUGAGAGGGACAGUACCUUGGAGGGCAGUAGAGUCCAUGGAAAGGUCUAUCAGACAUCUCUGCUGACUGCCUGAGGAGAAUCCUGGAACACAUCACCUUUCUCCUGGUCAGAGCAGCAUGGCAGGAGAUCUGCAGUGAGCACACAGUUCCCCAGACUUCACAGUGGAGUUUUCAGGUGUUCUAUAAACUCGGCUGCUGAGGGGUAGGGGACAAGAGGCUGAAACAGAAAGACCAUCUAAAGAAACUUCCCUGCGAAGUCACAUCCUUUGCUGUAUUUUCUUGCCAAGGUGGAACAGCAGAUUUCAUCAGACCUGAUCUCUGGCAGACAAACCUCAGGCUGAACCCUUGGCAGGAACAGCCAUGCUGGUGAUGGAACUGAAGUUUCAUUUUAAAAUCAUUUCUGUGCCCCAUGUUUAUGAUGAAUAAACCCUGUGUGUUUGCUGCAAGCAGAGAGGAUAAAGCUGUUGUUGUGUUACCAUCCUGCAUGUUUCAGUCACUCAGUGGGCAUGAACUGCCCUGAAAGACAUGAAAGACAACAGCUCCUGUAUCAGCCCUAAGUAUUUCUCUGCUAUAUUUGCCUCAGCUGGAGCGUUUGGGAUGUGGUUACCCUGCCAGGAUUGCCAUUGUGGGUGUUGUGGGUGAACACGCUUGGGAUUGAGUUUCCAAGAAGGAAGAUUCAGAUAAACAACUGCUUUGAGGUGAAAAUUAGAGAGUUCAUGUUACACCCACCUCUUGAAUUUGUAACUGACUAUUCACCCUGAA